CCUACGGGUGGCAGCAGUGAGGAAUAUUGGUCAAUGGGCGGAAGCCUGAACCAGCCAAGCCGCGUGAGGGAGGAAGGUGCUAUGGAUCGUAGACCUCUUUUAACAGGGAAUAAAGUGCGGGACGCGUCCGGUUUUGGAUGUACCUUGUGAAUAAGGAUCGGCUAACUCCGUGCCAGCAGCCGCGGUAAUACGGAGGAUACGAGCGUUAUCCGGAUUUAUUGGGUUUAAAGGGUGCGUAGGCGGCCCUUUAAGUCAGCGGUGAAAGGCUCUGGGUCAACCACUGAAGUGCCGUUGAAACUGGGAGCCUUGAGUGUGGUGGAGGCAGGCGGAAUGCGUGGUGUAGCGGUGAAAUGCUUAGAUAUCACGCAGAACCCCGAUUGCGAGGGCAGCGUGCCGUGCCUUCACUGACGCUGAGGCACGAAAGCGUGGGGAUCAAACAGGAUUAGAUACCCCUGUAGUC
rnacentral:rRNA from 1 species